rnacentral:rRNA from 1 species
GACGAACGCUGGCGGCGUGCUUAACACAUGCAAGUCGAACGGUAAGGCCCUUCGGGGUACACGAGUGGCGAACGGGUGAGUAACACGUGGGUGAUCUGCCCCUCACUUCGGGAUAAGCCUGGAAAACUGGGUCUAAUACCGGAUAGGACCACUGCCUGCAUGGGGGGUGGGGGAAAGCUAUUUGGGGGUGGGGUGGGCCCGCGGCCUAUCGGCUUGGUGGUGGGGUGAUGGGCUACCAAGGGGACGACGGGUAGACGGCCUGGGAGGGUGACCGGCCACACUGGGACUGGGAUACGGCCCAGACUCCUACGGGAGGCAGCAGUGGGGAAUAUUGCACAAUGGGCGCAAGCCUGAUGCAGCGACGCCGCGUGAGGGAUGACGGCCUUCGGGUUGUAAACCUCUUUCAGCACCGACGAAGCGCAAGUGACGGUAGGUGCAGAAGAAGGACCGGCCAACUACGUGCCAGCCGCCGCGGUAA